UACGAAGGGGGCUAGCGUUGUUCGGAAUCACUGGGCGUAAAGCGCACGCAGGCGGGUCGUUAAGUCAGGGGUGAAAUCCCGAGGCUCAACCUCGGAACUGCCUUUGAUACUGGCGAUCUUUGAGUCCGGGGAGAGGUGAGUGGAACUCCGAGUGUAGAGGUGAAAUUCGUAGAUAUUCGGAAGAACACCAGUGGCGAAGGCGACUCACUGGACAUGUAUUGACGCUGAGGUGCGAAAGCGUGGGGGAGCAAACGG
rnacentral:rRNA from 1 species